rnacentral:lncRNA from 1 species
UGACAAUUAUCUUUUCUUUCCUUUCUUGCAAACCCUUGGUAUUGUGAGUCUUCUUUCAUUUUUAAUCUUUCUUUUUGAUUUAUAGUGUUAUGUCAUUCAGGUUUUAAUGGAAAUUUCCCUGGUGAUUAACAUAAUGGAGAAAGUUUUCAUAGGUUUACUAGCAACUUGUUUAUCUUCUCUUUUGAGGUAACUCUUUAAGUCUUUUCUCUUUUUUUUUUAAAUUUAUUAUUAUUAUACUUUGAGUUUUAGGGUACAUGUGCACAAUGUGCAGGUUAGUUACAUAUGUAUACAUGUGCCAUGCUGGUGCGCUGCACCCACUAACUCGUCAUCUAGCAUUAGGUAUAUCUCCCAGUGCUAUCCCUCCCCCCUCCCCCCACCCCACAACAGUCCCUAGAGUGUGAUGUUCCCCUUCCUGUGUCCAUGUGUUCUCAUUGUUCAAUUCCCACCUAUGAGCAAGAAUAUGUGGUGUUUGGUUUUUUGUUCUUGCGAUAGUUUACUGAGAAUGAUGAUUUCCAAUUUCAUCCAUGUCCCUACAAAGGACGUGAACUCAUCAUUUUUUAUGGCUGCAUAGUAUUCCAUGGUGUAUAUGUGCCACAUUUUCUUAAUCCAGUCUAUCAUUGUUGGACGUUUGGGUUGCUUCCAAGUCUUUGCUAUUGUGAAUAAUGCCGCAAUAAACAUACGUGUGCAUGUGUCUUUAUAGCAGCAUGAUUUAUAGUCCUUUGGGUAUAUACCCAGUAAUGGGAUGGCUGGGUCAAAUGGUAUUUCUAGUUCUGGAUCCCUGAGGAGUGAGCGGCAGGUGAGCAAGUGAAGUUUUAUCCAUAUUUACAGCUGCUCCCCAUCGUUCACAUUAUCACCUGAGCUUCACACAAAUUAAUAAAGAUGUAUACUACUAAGAAUAAUGUCACCCGUCUUAAUUUUUUAUGAAUUUUUCAUUUAUAGUUUUUCCAUGUGAGCAUACUGGUGGGGUUUGACUGUGUCAAUAUAUUCUAAUGUAAAAUAGAAAUUUAAGCUUUUUAUGUAUUACAACCAUUGAUUUUGGCAAAUGUAUGCUAAGAUCCUUCAGAGAUCUGACACAUUUUUCCCCUUAACAAGAGAUUUAACAUCCACAUGUCAAAAUCUCAUUAACUUUGUCACUAUGACCAAGAACCUUUAUUUUAACAUUUUGUUUGUAUAUGAAAAUAAUUGAUAGUCCACUUCCUUAAUACCCACUCCAGUCAAAGGGCUUUCACAUAUAUGCAAAGAU